GGGACAUGUCCAAGUCGCCUCCCACAGCGGCGGCGGCGGUGGCGCAGGAGAUCCAGAUGGAACUGCUAGAGAACGUGGCUCCCGCGGGGGCGCUCGGAGCCGCCGCACAGUCAUAUGGAAAAGGAGCCAGAAGGAAAAACAGAUUUAAAGGAUCUGAUGGAAGCACGUCAUCUGAUACUACCUCAAAUAGUUUUGUUCGCCAGGUAAGAGUUUUAAGUUCAUGGUUUUGAUAAGUACCUUAAAAUGACUUUAGAUUUUUAAAGGUGGGUUUCACUCUUUUCCUUAAGAUUUAUGUAGUAUGAUUGUACUUACUUUUAAUUGAAGUGAAGACGGUGCUGUUUAAUGUCAUAAUUAAAAUAUUUUAAUCUUAAGUGAGACUAAGUAAUAAUUACACUCUUUCCUGGCAAGUUGAGGAAAGAGAAGUGUGGCAUUCAUUACAGAGGAUUUCUUUGAAACAGUGAGAGAACUCCAGCAGAAAUGAUUAUGGAUUUGGGGGG
rnacentral:lncRNA from 1 species